rnacentral:rRNA from 1 species
UUUAAAGAGAGUUUGAUCCUGGCUCAGGACGAACGCUGGCGGCGUGCCUAAUACAUGCAAGUCGAACGAACGGAGGAAGAGCUUGCUCUUCCAAAGUUAGUGGCGGACGGGUGAGUAACACGUGGGCAACCUGCCUGUAAGUUGGGGAUAACUCCGGGAAACCGGGGCUAAUACCGAAUGAUAAAGUGUGGCGCAUGCCACGCUUUUGAAAGAUGGUUUCGGCUAUCGCUUACAGAUGGGCCCGCGGUGCAUUAGCUAGUUGGUAGGGUAAUGGCCUACCAAGGCAACGAUGCAUAGCCGACCUGAGAGGGUGAUCGGCCACACUGGGACUGAGACACGGCCCAGACUCCUACGGGAGGCAGCA